AACUUUUAACAGUGGAUCUCUUGUCUCGUGCAUCAAUGAAGAACGCAGCCAGCUGCGAUACGUAGUGUGAAUUGCAAAAUGAAUCAUCGAAUCUUUGAACGUAAAUGGCGCUCUCGGUUAUAGCGGGAGCAUGUCUGUCUGAGUGUUG
rnacentral:rRNA from 1 species